rnacentral:rRNA from 1 species
UACGGAGGGUGCAAGCGUUAAUCGGAAUUACUGGGCGUAAAGCGUGCGCAGGCGGUUUGUUAAGUCCGGUGUGAAAGCCCCGAGCUCAACUUGGGAAUUGCAGUGGAUACUGGCAGGCUGGAGUACGGUAGAGGAAGGUGGAAUUCCCGGUGUAGCAGUGAAAUGCGUAGAUAUCGGGAGGAACACCAGUGGCGAAGGCGGCCUUCUGGACCAGUACUGACGCUCAUGCACGAAAGCGUGGGGAGCAAACAGG